rnacentral:tRNA from 1 species
GCCGAGGUGGCCCAGUCAGGUACGGCGCAGGCCUGGAGAGCCUGUGGGGCGUUGCCCCGCGGGAGUUCAAAUCUCCCCCUCGGCG